rnacentral:piRNA from 1 species
UCACUAUGGUGUAAGUUUGAGAACUCU